UACGGAGGGAGCUAGCGUUGUUCGGAAUUACUGGGCGUAAAGCGCGCGUAGGCGGCGCGGUAAGUCGGGUGUGAAAUUUCGAGGCUUAACUUCGAAACUGCAUUCGAUACUGCCGUGCUUGAGGACUGGAGAGGAGACUGGAAUUUACGGUGUAGCGGUGAAAUGCGUAGAUAUCGUAAGGAAGACCAGUGGCGAAGGCGGGUCUCUGGACAGUUCCUGACGCUGAGGCACGAAGGCCAGGGGAGCAAACGGG
rnacentral:rRNA from 1 species